rnacentral:rRNA from 1 species
UACGUAGGGUGCGAGCGUUGUCCGGAAUUACUGGGCGUAAAGAGCUCGUAGGUGGCUUGUCGCGUCUGCCGUGAAAACCCGAGGCUCAACCUCGGGCGUGCGGUGGGUACGGGCAGGCUAGAGUGUGGUAGGGGAGACUGGAACUCCUGGUGUAGCGGUGAAAUGCGCAGAUAUCAGGAAGAACACCGAUGGCGAAGGCAGGUCUCUGGGCCAUUACUGACACUGAGGAGCGAAAGCAUGGGUAGCGAACAGGAUUAGAUACCCG